AUCUAUAUAGCUUAUUAGAGCGUAACAUUGAAGCUGUUAAGGAAUUUUUUAAUUAUAGGUA
rnacentral:tRNA from 1 species